rnacentral:lncRNA from 1 species
GCGUUUUCAUCUCUCUCCCUGCGAUAGCUAUCCUAAGCGACAACAAAGAUCACGCAAACAAUUAUAUCGUGUUUCUGGAGCACUUGGGACCCUCAACAAUGGCAUGUUCUUCCAGGUACAACAUCUAUAUUAAAGUACACUCUUUUCCUUUUUCCAAAUAAGUUAAUAUCAUAGUUUUGGUUUAUAAGGAUAUAAUUGUUUGAUGAAUCUGUACAUCGUUUAUGAGAUAUUAAUACUUUUGUCAGAGAUACACAUGCAAUAAGGAAAUUUAUGUUAGGUAUAAUUUUGCAAAAACCCUUUUUACAAUAUUAGGGUUUGAUGAAACACAUGGCUUGAUUCCACAGUGUCUAUUCUCAAUCCCAGUUCAAAGGCUACCAUAAUAGGACAGUUUGACAAUAGCUAUUUAAUUAAUUACCUAGAAAAUUAAUUUGUUUCAAAUAUAUAUUAGGAAUGACGGUGGCUAUGCAUUCAUUCCAAACAACUAUUUCAAAACUAGGAUUAAUGCAAAUCAGGUACUAUAAUGUUAAAUAAGAUCUUUUUUUUUUCCUUUCUUUUUUUAAUCAAUAUUUUUUCAAAAGGCAUGCUUAUAUGGACAUAAUAUAUAUCAUUCAUUGUAGGAGAGAAUUUACAUGUGCCCUCAAUUUAUCAGCAACUAUUCAAACCAUUUGGUUUUCAACAAGCCUGGAUGGUUAAUCGACGGUGACAAAAAAAAAACCAUGGUGGUUUUUAAGUUUACAAAAGGAUUUUGGUAUAUAAGUUCCGGUAUUUUAGUUGCUAAUAGAUUUGGUUUCACACAACCCACUGCUAUUUAU